GCCAUUAGCGCACCUUCUCCUUUUACUAGUUUUGUCAAAUUUCCGAUUGGAACAUAUUGGUAAGGGUGGAUUUGCAUGGCGGGUGAUACUUAAUUUACCGUGCAUCCGUUGUCGCUCCGUUUGGAGUUAAUGCGAUUCAUUCGAGUUUGUUUUAUUCCUUGAUUUGUGUCUUCCUAGAUGCAAGAGAUUUGAACAUUAGUAUACUACUGCUGCCUCUUAUUUAGUUGCUGAUGGAAUUUUCAACAUAUCUGAGCAC
rnacentral:lncRNA from 1 species